rnacentral:rRNA from 1 species
CCUACGGGCGGCAGCAGUGGGGAAUAUUGGACAAUGGGCGAAAGCCUGAUCCAGCCAUGCCGCGUGUGUGAAGAAGGCCUUCGGGUUGUAAAGCACUUUCAGUGGGGAAGAAAGCCUUGGGGCUAAUACCCUCGAGGAAGGACAUCACCCACAGAAGAAGCACCGGCUAACUCCGUGCCAGCAGCCGCGGUAAUACGGAGGGUGCGAGCGUUAAUCGGAAUUACUGGGCGUAAAGCGCGCGUAGGCGGUCUGAUAAGCCGGUUGUGAAAGCCCCGGGCUCAACCUGGGAACGGCAUCCGGAACUGUCAGGCUAGAGUGCAGGAGAGGAAGGUAGAAUUCCCGGUGUAGCGGUGAAAUGCGUAGAGAUCGGGAGGAAUACCAGUGGCGAAGGCGGCCUUCUGGACUGACACUGACGCUGAGGUGCGAAAGCGUGGUAGCAAACAGGAUUAGAUACCCUGGUAGUC